AGUUUGAUCCUGGCUCAGAUUGAACGCUGGCGGCAGGCCUAACACAUGCAAGUCGAGCGGUAACGAAGAGGUGCUUGCACCUUUGGCGUCGAGCGGCGGACGGGUGAGUAAUGCUUGGGAAUAUGCCUUAUGGUGGGGGACAACAGUUGGAAACGACUGCUAAUACCGCAUGAUGUCUACGGACCAAAGUGGGGGACCUUCGGGCCUCACGCCAUAAGAUUAGCCCAAGUGGGAUUAGCUAGUUGGUGAGGUAAUGGCUCACCAAGGCGACGAUCCCUAGCUGGUUUGAGAGGAUGAUCAGCCACACUGGGACUGAGACACGGCCCAGACUCCUACGGGAGGCAGCAGUGGGGAAUAUUGCACAAUGGGCGCAAGCCUGAUGCAGCCAUGCCGCGUGUGUGAAGAAGGCCUUCGGGUUGUAAAGCACUUUCAGUAAUGAGGAAAGGUUAAGUGUUAAUAGCACUUAGCUGUGAC
rnacentral:rRNA from 1 species